rnacentral:rRNA from 1 species
UACGUAGGCAGCAAGCGUUGUUCGGAAUUACUGGGCGUAAAGAGUGUGUAGGCGGUGCUCUAAGUUCGGUGUGAAAUCUCCUGGCUUAACUGGGAGGGUGCGCCGGAAACUGGAGUGCUUGAGCGUGGGAGAGGAAAGCGGAAUUCCUGGUGUAGCGGUGAAAUGCGUAGAUAUCAGGAGGAACACCUGUGGUGUAGACGGCUUUCUGGACCAUAGCUGACGCUGAGACACGAAAGCGUGGGUAGCAAACAGG